GUACAUGUUUAGCCUGAGAAAGGUACAAGACUAAGUUCUAGUGUGUAAACUGGACUUGAAUAUUUUUGUUACUGGAGUGAAUGCUGGGGUGAGUUCAGCAGUGCACAUGCGCAGUACAGAAGUGCGGGAAGCUUCCAGAAACCCUGUGGACUUACACAUUGGAAGAAGCUGAUCUUCUCUAAAGACCAGUGAUGUUGUUGCCAUGAGGACUGCUGUCCUGCGAUGUCUCGGUUUUCCUCGGGGGUGAUGAAAGAGACUGCUACAAUGCCUCUUUUGAUUCAGAUGCCGUGGCAGACUUCACCCAGGUUCCUGUGGGAUUAUUGCCUGUUAUUCCUGAAGUCAGUCAGCAACCAGGUCCGAAUGCUCUUCACCUUGAACCAUCCAG